rnacentral:rRNA from 1 species
UUUUCUAUCUAUGUCUUGACCAAAGAACGUGCCAGCAGUCGCGGUAAAACGUUGAAGACUAGUGUUAUUCAUCUUUAAUAGGUUUAAAGGGUACUUAGACGGUAUAUUAAGCCCAAAAAGGGUACUAAUAUACUAGAGUUUGAUGUGAGAGGGGGAGUACUAGUGGAGUAGAGAUGAAAUUUUAUUAUACCAUUGGAACAGGUAGCGGCGAAAGCAACCCUUUAUGUAAAAACUGACGUUGAAGGACGAAGGCUUGAGACACCAACAGGAUUAGAUACCCUAGUAGUUCAAGCAGUCAAUGAUGAAUGUCAUAGAUUAGAUUAAUUUUUGUCUAUAAAUGAAAAUGUAAGCAUUCCACCUCAAGAGUAAUGUGGCAACGCAGAAACUGAAAUCAUUAGACCGUUUCUGAAACCAGUAGUGAAGUAUGUUGUUUAAUUCGAUAAUCCGCGAAAAACCUUACCACAAUUUGAAUAUUUUUGUUUUUAUAAUUAUACAAGCGUUGCACGGCUGUCUUCAGUUAAUGUCGUGAGAUUUUGGUUAGUUCCAUUAAAUUAACGCAAACCCUUACUUUAUUUAUUUUUAUAAAGUAGUUCACCGCUAUAUUGGAUAUGAUAAAUGGGACCAAGACAAGUCAUCAUGGCCUGAAUAUUGUGGGCUAUGUUCACCGCUAUAUUGGAUAUGAUAAAUGGGACCAAGACAAGUCAUCAUGGCCUGAAUAUUGUGGGCUAUA